UAAGAAACCAUCGUUACUUCAACGAGCGUUCAUUAAUGAUAGACUUUAAUGGGGUCGAGAAAGAGCCACAGGGAUUCGCUGAGGAAUUUUUAACUGAAAGACCUCUUUCAGGGAUUCUACUCAAAGCAAGGGUCGUAAAAACUUACAAAUAAGGAGCGGAAAAAGCCUGUAUAGCUUUGGCUUGUUUGAACCUUAAAUAUAAAAAGUUUGGCUGCACUGAUGCAUUAUAAAGUAUACAUGAAACGAUGACAGAUUUAGAAGAUGCCGAACAGUAAUUAAAACAAAAAAAGCAGUAAAUAAUGUAAGUCUCGAAUGUAACAGUAAUUUUUUGUUUAAUUUUGUUUUAGCUUAUCAUUCAUUGAAGUUCAUAUAAUGGUAUUUAUGUGAUAUAGAGAUAGAGGAUAGUCAAAUAGUUUCAGGCUAUUUUUAUCAAAUAGUCACUAAUGAAGAAGCAUAUUAAGAAUAUAAAAAGUUUUUUUUUCCCAACAAACUUAAGGGCAAGAGAGAAACGAGUCGAGCAAUGAGGAUAAUACCGUUACCCUGAAGUCUUGACUUGGACUUUCACCGCUCAUGGAAAGGAGUACGUUGGUUCGUGUCGACAUUGGCCCGGGGUGCAUUCAAGUCCCACUACAAUUAAGCAUGACAACUUCCCCAAGAAAACAGAAUAUUCCAUGCACGAAAAGUGUGGAUAAAUGAGUGAGUGGGUAUAUGUAGCAAGCUGCUUUGGUGAAUCCUCGGAUGUGCUCGCGAGAGAGCCAGCGCGUCAUAUCCACGAUUUGUCCGAGGGCACGGGGUGUGACGGGGACAAGAAGAGGAUGGUAAAGGCAAUGCACUCCAAGUGAACAUCGCUUGUGGCGGGUCACUCGAAUAGGGCGCGUCUCAGUCAAUGAGCAUCACAUUUUUUACCCGACGACUGAUGGCGAAUUGAGAACGACUGAAGAGUCCUCAUGCUUUAAAUAUAUAUUAAUGGCAGAACAAUUUAAAUACAGGUGCAUUAAUAAAUACAAAUAGCAUUGGACACAGGUGUUGUUUAGAGGACAUCCAACAUUUAUACAUAUGGGAUGAAACAGAGUGAAUGUAGAUUACAUUUCUUUUCUGUCUUCUUUAGUCUCGACUUUAUGUCUCAGUCUUACGUCUUUUAUCUUGCUUACUUGACUCUCCAUCACGUGCUUACAUGCGUGCGUAUACGCGUGGGGUCGUUGAACGAGCAGGGGUAUGUGUCGGAGCACACAGCUAAGAGAAGACGAGUCUCCCGAGUCAACCCACUUUACGCCACUGCGAUCCUUCACUGAUUGAAAGAGAAAAGAUGACAAAUGAUGCUAAGGAUGAUUAGAUGGUAUACAAUUAUAAUGAUCUUGGGUAUAACCAUUGUUUGGGUAUCAUUUGAAACAACAGAUUUUGGGAUUAUUGUUAAAUAGAAUUGGACAGUUGUAAAUGUUUCCUGAUGCGCUACU